UACGAAGGGGGCUAGCGUUGUUCGGAAUUACUGGGCGUAAAGCGCACGUAGGCCGCACGGUAAGUCAGAGGUGAAAUCCCGGAGCUCAACUUCGGAAUUGCCUCCGAUACUGCCGUGCUUGAGGACUGGAGAGGAGAUUGGAAUUCACAGUGGAGCAGUGAAAUGCGUAGAUAUUGUGAGGAACACUAGUGGCGAAGGCGAAUCUCUGGACAGUUCCUGACGCUGAGGCACGAAGGCCAGGGGAGCAAACGGG
rnacentral:rRNA from 1 species